rnacentral:tRNA from 1 species
GCCGUGGUGGCGGAAUUGGCAGACGCAACCGACUCAGAAUCGGUCCACUCCCGGUUCGACUCCGGGCCUCGGCA